ensembl:lncRNA
CGGAGAUAGAGGCGCGACCGACGUCGCCCACAACCAGCCUGGAGCUCUGAUACCUGAGCUCUGAUACCGUUUAAUAUAACUUCCUGUUUAGUAUUAUGGUUAGUAUACUCAGAUUGGACUAGUUUGGAGCAGACAUACAGGUGCCAGGCUGUAUCCUCUGGGACAGAACGCCCCCAGUGUGGAGCAGACAGACAGGUGCCAGGCCGUCUCCUCUGGGACAGAACGCCCCCAGUGUGGAGCAGACAGAUAGGUGCCAGGCCGUCUCCUCUGGGACAGAACGCCCCCAGUGUGGAGCAGAGACGGGUGCCAGGCUGUAUCCUCUGGGACAGAACGCGCCCAGCGUGGAGCAGACAGACAGGUUUCUAGGAAAGGAGAGGGCGGAUUACUUCCUGGGGUCGUCAUCUGAUCAUCUACGACCUUCAACCUGGGACCCUACGAUGACCUCUGCCAACAGGGAGCCGGUGAGUGCUGUUGCAUUCUGGGAGGCUCU